UGGGGAAUAUUGCACAAUGGGCGCAAGCCUGAUGCAGCGACGCCGCGUGCGGGAUGACGGCCUUAGGGUUGUAAACCGCUUUCAGCAGGGACGAAAUUGACGGUACCUGCAGAAGAAGCCCCGGCCAACUACGUGCCAGCAGCCGCGGUAAUACGUAGGGGGCAAGCGUUGUCCGGAUUUAUUGGGCGUAAAGAGCUCGUAGGCGGGCUGGUAAGUCGGAUGUGAAAUCUCCACGCUUAACGUGGAGGG
rnacentral:rRNA from 1 species